CCUUACCCGCUGAACUUAAGCAUAUAAUUAAGCGGAGGAAAAGAAACUAACAAGGAUUCCCCUAGUAACGGCGAGUGAAGCGGGAAGAGUUCAAGCCUAAAAUCUCCGGUGUUCCACCGGCGAAUUGUAGUCUAUGGGUCAUGUGUGCGUAAGGUACCGGGGGUAAAUUCCUUGGAAUGGGAUCCUACAGAGGGUGAGAGGCCCGUAUGUACCCCGUGUGCCGAACUUCAGUCAUGCAAGGCCUCAGAGUCGGGUUGCUUGGGAGUGCAGCUCUAAGUGGGAGGUAAAUUUCUUCUAAAACUAAAUACGGGCGAGAGACCGAUAGCGUACAAGUACCGUGAGGGAAAGAUGAAAAGGACUUUGAAAAGAGAGUUAAAAGUGCUUGAAGCUGUCAAGGGCUAACCGCAUGGGAAGAGCGUAUGGUCCUGCGGACACUUAGGGCUGAUGGUGUGUGCUGGCGGCAGGAGUAGGGUCAAACCGCUCGUGCCGAUUGUUGCAUAUCGUUGGUUUGCACUUGUCUACUUGACCGGUCAAGCUGGCUUCUAUGCCGGUGGGAGAAUGGCUAAAGUGCGCGGCGUCAGCUUGCUGGCGUCGGUCUUGGCUGAUACCGCCGGAAGGAGUGAGGAAUCAAGCGUUGUCAUCGCCGCUGCGGUCGGCUGUUUUGGUGUAUUGUGUAGCACUGCCUCUGGUAUGUGUUGCGCGCUACAUCGGAGCACUCCGGCUGAACAGGGACUUGCUCGCUGAGGAGCUUGACUUGAUCUUUCCAUUCGACCCGUCUUGAAACACGGACCAAGGAGUCUAACAUAUAUGCGAGUGUUUGGGUGGCAAACCCAUGCGCGGAAUGAAAGUAAUAGGUGGGAUCCCGUCUGGGUGCACCAUCGACCGACCAUGAUCCUUGUGUGAAAGGUUUGAGUAAGAGCAUAUCUGUUGGGACCCGAAAGAUGGUGAACUAUGCCUGAGCAGGGCGAAGCCAGGGGAAACUCUGGUGGAGGCUCGCAGCGAUACUGACGUGCAAAUCGUUCGUCAAACUUAGGUAUAGGGGCGAAAGACUAAUCGAACCAUCUAGUAGCUGGUUCCCUCCGAAGUUUCCCUCAGGA
rnacentral:rRNA from 1 species